UUGAACUGAAAGAGUGUGUGAGUGGACGUCAUGUUAAAGUGAUGCAACACAUCGCGUCAUUAUGUUUGUGCUGAUGUAAACACUUGUUCUGAUCUCUGAUUGGAUGCUGGUAAGAGAAAGUGGGCGGGUCUUACAUCCUGGUAAGGAGAAGCAGCUUCCUGAAACAAGGAACCAAACAUGCGACGACACAUCCGGACAACCUAAGGAAUACAAAGUUACUCUGACAUGAGUACGAGCCUGGAAUUAAACAUUAGACCACAGAUCUCAAGAGCUCAGUAACCUGCCAACCUGCUGCCCACCUCAGAGGGAGGCGAGCCGGGCUCAGAUUAAUCCUUAUCUGACCGCAGGAGUGUGACACGCUGGAGGAGGUUGGAUGCAGCCGGGGGGGAUCAGCAGCUCUGCAACAUUUCCAGGAGGAUUCACGAGGCAGUUUGAUCAUGGCAGGCGUACACAGACGUACACAUCAUCACCGCCUCUGUUUCAUCAUCUGUGUGUCUUCAGUCUUACUCCUCAUCCUCUUCAGUAAAG